GGAGGGGUGUCCGAGAGGCUUAAGGAGGUGGUCUUGAAAACCACUAGGCGGGCAACCGCCUCGUGGGUUCGAAUCCCACCCCCUCCGCCA
rnacentral:tRNA from 1 species